UACGUAGGGUGCGAGCGUUAAUCGGAAUUACUGGGCGUAAAGCGUGCGCAGGCGGUGAGCUGUGUCCGAUGUGAAAGCCCCGGGCUUAACCUGGGAAUGGCAUUGGAAACUGGCUCGCUGGAGUGUGGCAGAGGGGGGUGGAAUUCCGCGUGUAGCAGUGAAAUGCGUAGAGAUGCGGAGGAACACCGAUGGCGAAGGCAGCCCCCUGGGCUAACACUGACGCUCAGGCACGAAAGCGUGGGGGAGCAAACAGG
rnacentral:rRNA from 1 species